rnacentral:rRNA from 1 species
UUUCAGAACGAACGCUGGCGGCAAGCUUAACACAUGCAAGUCGAACGGAUUAUUCUUUGUAGCUUGCUAUAAAGAAUGAUUAGUGGCAGACGGGUGAGUAAUGCAUAGGAAUCUACCUAGUAGUAUGGGAUAGCCUACUAGAAAUGGUGGGUAAUACUGUAUAAUCCCUGCGGGGGAAAGAUUUAUCGCUAUUAGAUGAGCCUAUGUUAGAUUAGCUAGUUGGUAGGGUAAAGGCCUACCGGGC